AACGAACGCUGGCGGCAUGCCUAACACAUGCAAGUCGAACGAGACCUUCGGGUCUAGUGGCGCACGGGUGCGUAACGCGUGGGAACUUGCCCUUAGGUUCGGAAUAACUCCCCGAAAGGGGUGCUAAUACCGGUUAAUGUCUUCGGACCAAAGAUUUAUCGCCUUUGGAUGGGCCCGCGUUGGAUUAGCUAGUUGGUAGGGUAAAAGCCUACCAAGGCGACGAUCCAUAGCUGGUCUGAGAGGAUGAUUAGCCACACUGGGACUGAGACACGGCCCAGACUCCUACGGGAGGCAGCAGUGGGGAAUAUUGGACAAUGGGCGAAAGCCUGAUCCAGCAAUGCCGCGUGAGUGAUGAAGGCCUUAGGGUUGUAAAGCUCUUUUACCCGGGAUGAUAAUGACAGUACCGGGAGAAUAAGCACCGGCUAACUCCGUG
rnacentral:rRNA from 1 species